rnacentral:rRNA from 1 species
CAGCAGCCGCGGUAAUACGUAGGGUGCGAGCGUUAAUCGGAAUUACUGGGCGUAAAGCGUGCGCAGGCGGUUGUGUAAGACAGGUGUGAAAUCCCCGGGCUUAACCUGGGAACUGCGCUUGUGACUGCACAGCUAGAGUAUGGCAGAGGGGGGCGGAAUUCCACGUGUAGCAGUGAAAUGCGUAGAGAUGUGGAGGAACACCGAUGGCGAAGGCAGCCCCCUGGGCCAAUACUGACGCUCAUGCACGAAAGCGUGGGGAGCAAACAGGAUUAGAUACCCGCGUAGUCCCUGUCUCUUAUAC